rnacentral:rRNA from 1 species
GAUGAACGCUAGCGGCAGGCCUAAUACAUGCAAGUCGAGGGGCAUCACGGAUAGCAAUAUCUGGUGGCGACCGGCGCACGGGUGCGUAACGCGUAUGCAACCUACCUUUUACAGGGGGAUAGCUCCGAGAAAUCGGGAUUAAUACCCCAUAACAUUACGGAUUGGCAUCAAUUUGUGAUUAAAGCUCCGGCGGUAGAAGAUGGGCAUGCGUACCAUUAGCUAGUUGGUGAGGUAACGGCUCACCAAAGCAACGAUGGCUAGGGGUUCUGAGAGGAUUAUCCCCCACACUGGUACUGAGACACGGACCAGACUCCUACGGGAGGCAGCAGUAAGGAAUAUUGGUCAAUGGACGCAAGUCUGAACCAGCCAUGCCGCGUGCAGGAAGACGGCCUUAUGGGUUGUAAACUGCUUUUGUCAGGGAAUAAACCCCCGUACGAGUACGGGGCUGAAGGUACCUGAAGAAUAAGCAUCGGCUAACUCCGUGCCAGCAGCCGCGGUAAUACGGAGGAUGCGAGCGUUAUCCGGAUUCAUUGGGUUUAAAGGGUGCGCAGGCGGACUUAUAAGUCAGUGGUGAAAUCCUACGGCUCAACCGUGGCACUGCCAUUGAUACUGUAAGUCUUGAGUAUAGUUGAAGUGGGCGGAAUGUAGCAUGUAGCGGUGAAAUGCAUAGAUAUGCUACAGAACACCGAUAGCGAAGGCAGCUCACUAAGUUAUAACUGACGCUCAUGCACGAAAGCGUGGGGAUCAAACAGGAUUAGAUACCCUGGUAGUCCACGCUGUAAACGAUGAUCACUCGUUGUUGGCGAUACACCGUCAGCGACUAAGCGAAAGUGAUAAGUAUCCACCUGGGA